rnacentral:lncRNA from 1 species
CAAACAUGAGUUUGUUUAAUAAAAUUUGGGCUACUCUGUGUGGCAUGCUGCCACUGAACAUAUAAUUCCUUUCCCUUUUAUUCGAAGAAGCUCCUGUUGGAGGCAGCUUCCCCCUCCCUUCUCUUCUUUCAUCCCACAGAUCAUUUCCAUACAGCCCACUCGAUAUUGCCUGGCAGCACGAGGGACCAGAAUAGCAUGGAGAAUUGAAACCCACAGAAGAGCUACAGCCUCCUCCCCCUUGGACACUGGCAAGCUAAGCUGCUAACAAGUGGCAGGAUCGAUUCAUUUGAAUUUCAUCUCCCUUCAUUUCCUCUGCCUUCCCUCUGGUGCUGGUGAUAAUGAGCGGUGAAAAUGACCCAGGACCCAGGAGGCAGAUGCAAGUGGGGGGGUGGAAUCCAGGGGUUGAGAUAAUCCAUAGCUUGAAGACUCAAGAAUUAGCUUUGGUUCCUUCUCCUCCCACAGCUUUAUCUCAGGUGGCCACUGAACAAGGAGCCGCUCCCGCAAGUGGUCUCUGGAAAGAUUUCUGUCUGAGUCUUCUUUUUGUUGACACUACAAAGACACCUCGUCGGAGCUGUCAUCUCGGUCAUCUCAGAAAGAGGCUCAGGUACCCAAGCAAGGACAGGAAUAAUGAAGAGACACGUGUGUUAGUUGCAACCUUCUGAACCAAGCAAGAAGGAAAUCAACAGUGUGGACAGGGCUGGAACCGUUGGCACGCUUGCUUGUUGGAGUGAAUGAGGAAUGGGCUUGU